UCAAAAUAGGGGAGCUGAAAGAGUUUCUGAAAGAGCAUAACUCAGCUGGUCUUAUGUUCAAAAGGAACUUUGUAGUGCUAUGCGUUUCUACAUUGAUGGAUGGGAAACAAAAUGUGAAUAUCAAUUCUGAUAUUCUCACAUUUCUUUCUGAUGUUGAUAAAAUAAAGGACUUGAAUUGGUGCAAGUAUAUCCUUGAUUCACUUGUGAAGGCCAAGCUUUUCUGGGAAGAACGUUAAACUCGUUCUUUUCCUGGAUCUUUACUGUUUCUUAUGCUUUUAUACGUUGAUCAGUUUGUCAUUGAGGAAGUUAGAGCCAAACGAGAAACUCCAGUUCUCAAAGGUUGGACAACCAAUAUGUUGUCAAGUCGUGAGAAAUUGGAAAUUUUUAAGGGGAGGCUUGGAGUUUUUUAUAAAAACCAGAAGCUUGUUGGUCCUUCUGGCAGUAAACAACCAAAAUUGGUAUUUCACUUGUAACCAAUACUUAGUUUUUCUAUGUCUUUGGCAUUGCUUGAAGAAUUGAAUUGGAACAAAUCUUGCUUUAAGGAAAAUGAUGCAAUGUGGUGCUUUUAUAGCACAUUAAUGGACCUCCUAAAUCAGCAAAAAAAUAUUUGCUCAUUUGUCAAAUGAGCAAUUAUUUUUUGCUCAUUUGAUACUGUGU